GAUGAACGCUAGCGGCAGGCCUAAUACAUGCAAGUCGAACGGGAUCGGGGAGCUUGCUCCCCAUGAGAGUGGCGCACGGGUGCGUAACGCGUGAGCAACCUGCCCGUCCCAGGGGGAUAGCCCGUUGAAAGACGGAUUAACACCGCAUGACGUAGUUAACUGGCAUCAGUAUACUACCAAAUAUUUAUAGGGGACGGAUGGGCUCGCGUGACAUUAGCUGGUUGGAGAGGUAACGGCUAACCAAGGCGACGAUGUCUAGGGGCUCUGAGAGGGGAAUCCCCCACACUGGUACUGAGACACGGACCAGACUCCUACGGGAGGCAGCAGUAAGGAAUAUUGGUCAAUGGGCGGAAGCCUGAACCAGCCAUGCCGCGUGCAGGAAGACGGCCCUACGGGUUGUAAACUGCUUUUGUACGGGAAUAAUUCCUAUUAUGUAUAAUAGGUUGAAUGUACCGUAAGAAUAAGGAUCGGCUAACUCCGUGCCAGCCGCCGCGGUAA
rnacentral:rRNA from 1 species